rfam:Danio rerio chromosome 4, GRCz11 reference primary assembly.
GUCAGGUUGGCCGAGUGGACUAAGGCGCUGAGUUCAGGACGCAGUCUCUGCUAGAGGUGUUGGUUCAAACACCACAUCUGACA